GCAGGAUUUGGAUGUACAGGCACCAAGGGUGCAAAAAUGGAUCCUUGUUUACUGCAUCAGUGUUGUACUAUUCAACAACAGUCUUAAGAGGGGUAGUUCUAAUUCAUUCCUUGUAUGGAGACAGUCCUGUAUCAGCAUCCUUGCUGUCCUACACACCUUGGUCUGUACAUGUUUUUUCUGUGAUGAGGAACCAGAACUAUCAAUGUUA